rnacentral:rRNA from 1 species
AUGAACGCUAGCGGCAGGCCUAACACAUGCAAGUCGAGGGGCAGCACAGGUAGCAAUACUGGGUGGCGACCGGCGGAUGGGUGCGUAACGCGUAUGCAACCUACCAUUGAUUGGGGCAUAGCCCGAAGAAAUUCGGAUUAAUACUCCAUAAUAUUCAUCAAAGGCAUCUUUUAUGAAUUAAAGCUUUUGCGAUCAAUGAUGGGCAUGCGUGACAUUAGUUAGUUGGUGAGGUAACGGCUCACCAAAACGAUGAUGUCUAGGGGUUCUGAGAGGAUUAUCCCCCACACUGGUACUGAGACACGGAUCAGACUCCUACGGGAGGCAGCAGUGAGGAAUAUUGGUCAAUGGACGCAAGUCUGAACCAGCCAUGCCGCGUGCAGGAUGACGGCCCUAUGGGUUGUAAACUGCUUUUCCACGGGAAGAACCCUCCGACGUGUCGGAGACUGACGGUACCGUGGGAAUAAGCAUCGGCUAACUCCGUG